rnacentral:lncRNA from 1 species
ACACAUUUAAGUUUUUAUUUAAUUGCAUUUUAUCUGUAGAUUUUAAUUACAAUAUAUAACUUCAAUCAGUUUUCUUAAAAAGAAGCGAUAGAGAAAUCUUCACUUUAGCAGCUGCAAUUUUUUUUUUUUUACAGAGGGGUUUGUUCUUAUAGCAUUUUCUUGAUUUUAUACAUUUUAUUUCUAAAGACAUUCAAUUUCUUCAGAUAGUUCAGAUUAAUGCAUCAUUUGCAUAUUUAAAUAUAACAUUUAAGAAAUCUUGGUGUGUUAUGAUAUCUAUUAGUUCAAUUUUUAGCCAGAGUAUUAUAUUUGAAAGUAUCAAAUUAAUUAAAAAUUAUUUAAAAAGCAAGUAUACACUGUAAGUGCAUGUGGGAUUGAUUUCUGUAGCUUCAAGUAAAUACAUUUGUUACAUUGGGGCCUCUGAAUGAAAUAAGUGCAUGGUUUAUGGUAAGUAUUUGUGACCCUUGCAUCUCUCAGUGUGGGUUUGAUGACUGAUCCAAACCUCUUUUUUUAUUCCAGGAGUUAGUGGUCUUGGCUUCUCUGCUCUGGUGGUGACGGCCUGGGGAACCGCCAACAUGGAGCUGUCCUGCUUCAAUUCACACUCAUCUUCCCUGUCUCAUGGGUGUGAAAUUAUAAGCUCCGAGGACACCUUCAUUCACAUUUUACAAGACUACAGCAGCUUGUCAGCCAUUGAUCAGUCCAGGCUUUUAUUGCAUGGAAAAGAGCAGCGUGAACAUCCUUCAAAAUGCUUUGGACCAACAUGAGGUUUCCACACAGUUCAGAGAUGCCAACAGCCGACGCUCCCCGUGUUACAUGGGUUGCUUGGAAACCAGCGCAUUGGGAGCAUGUAGUGCAACACACAGAGGCACAGGAUGCAGUGUGUACAGAAAAACAGGCACUCAAAGCACACGUGUGGACAGCAUCCUCCAGACGCUCAUGAAGAUGUCCCACGGACUUCAGUUCAAUCAGUGUCUGCUAGAUUUUUACAAUGCUGGAUUUUGCCCAUCUGUUGCUAACAAGAACACCAUUGUGUGAUGUGAUGUUUCGGUUUGAAGAAUGUAGACUGAGAUGAUCAUUCGAUAAUUUAUUGCAUUCAAAAAUUAUUUGGGCCUAGAUUAAAGUUUAAAAUUCCCAUCCAUUGGGACACAGAUUUAACAUAAACAGCCAAAUAAACUUGUGAUGCAUUAUAUAAAAAUGUAAUCAAGAAAUCUGGAAACUGAAACAAACUUUGUUGUGCUUGCAGGUUCACACAGUCCCUCCGGUCGUGGUGUCCCGUGGACGGAUCAGAGAUGUCAUCUGGUUGUCUCAAUUUGUGGAGUUUGGACUUUGGCCGGCCUCACCUCCUCCCGCUCAGAGGAUAAAGCCGGAUCAAGAUCACAUCCCUUCUAGUAUCCAUGGGCUCGAGGAGGAUACAGACCCUUCCUUCCCGCUCCACAUGCAGUGCAAAAAAAAUAAAAAAACAAAUGACGAACUGAUAAAGGUGAAAGUAACAUCUUCCUUUUUUUAAGUUUUUUGCACUUUGUUUGUUUUAAGUGGGUUCCUGCGGUACAGUGAGUUUUGCGCUGUUGACUCAUGUAUCAUGGGUUUCCAUUAACUAAAAGCAGAAAGAUUUGGGUAUUUCUUCAUCCUCUAGGGAAAGAACAGUCCUUUUUAUUUAAACAACCAUCUAAUUCACCAUCCCAUUGUUAUGUCUUUAUUUUUCAUGCAUCCUAUUAUUUUAUUGCAUCUGUAUAUUUGUGUGCUUGUCGUAAUUACGUCCAUAACUAAAUCUCCACUUAGAGCAAGUUCUAUCUCCCUCUUUUAAUCGAAGGAUGUACUGUAAUCAGACUUGUGGAGACGUUUUCCUAAUGAUGUUUACUUCAAACCGGUUCUAGUGGCUCCGAAAUGACUCAUAAUGAUCCUUGGCAGUAAGUUAUAUUAUAGAGGAAACUGAGACUUUAAAGAGCCAUUUCAGAGAAUGGG